UCGCUGUGAAGAUGCAGUGUACCCGCGGCAAGACGGAAAGACCCCGUGAACCUUUACUAUAGCUUGACACUGAACAUUGAGCCUUGAUGUGUAGGAUAGGUGGGAGGCUUUGAAGUGUGGACGCCAGUCUGCAUGGAGCCGACCUUGAAAUACCACCCUUUAAUGUUUGAUGUUCUAACGUUGACCCGUAAUCCGGGUUGCGGACAGUGUCUGGUGGGUAGUUUGACUGGGGCGGUCUCCUCCUAAAGAGUAACGGAGGAGCACGAAGGUUGGCUAAUCCUGGUCGGACAUCAGGAGGUUAGUGCAAUGGCAUAAGCCAGCUUGACUGCGAGCGUGACGGCGCGAGCAGGUGCGAAAGCAGGUCAUAGUGAUCCGGUGGUUCUGAAUGGAAGGGCCAUCGCUCAACGGAUAAAAGGUACUCCGGGGAUAACAGGCUGAUACCGCCCAAGAGUUCAUAUCGACGGCGGUGUUUGGCACCUCGAUGUCGGCUCAUCACAUCCUGGGGCUGAAGUAGGUCCCAAGGGUAUGGCUGUUCGCCAUUUAAAGUGGUACGCGAGCUGGGUUUAGAACGUCGUGAGACAGUUCGGUCCCUAUCUGCCGUGGGCGCUGGAGAACUGAGGGGGGCUGCUCCUAGUACGAGAGGACCGGAGUGGACGCAUCACUGGUGUUCGGGUUGUCAUGCCAAUGGCACUGCCCGGUAGCUAAAUGCGGAAGAGAUAAGUGCUGAAAGCAUCUAAGCACGAAACUUGCC
rnacentral:rRNA from 1 species